CCACCGUUCGUGGAGGUGUCACCACCGGUGCUCGGGCCACCGUUCGUGGAGGUGUCACCACCGGUGCUCGGGCCACCGUUCGUGGA
rnacentral:tRNA from 1 species